UACAGAGGGGGCAAGCGUUGUUCGGAAUUACUGGGCGUAAAGGGCGCGUAGGCGGAUAGUUUAGUCAGAGGUGAAAGCCCAGGGCUCAACCUUGGAAUUGCCUUUGAUACUGGCUAUCUUGAGUUCGGGAGAGGUGAGUGGAAUGCCGAGUGUAGAGGUGAAAUUCGUAGAUAUUCGGCGGAACACCAGUGGCGAAGGCGACUCACUGGCCCGAUACUGACGCUGAGGCGCGAAAGCGUGGGGAGCAAACAGG
rnacentral:rRNA from 1 species